AGCAAGAGAAAAAUGGACCCUGAACGUGCCCCAUCUCGUCUGAUCUUGGAAGACAAGCAGGGUCGAGCCUGGGUAGUACUUGGAUGGGAGAUCAUCUGGGAAUACCAGGUGCUGUAGGUG
rnacentral:rRNA from 1 species